UCGAAUUGUGUUAAAAUAUCAGUACAAAAAAUGCGGAAAACAUGAAUUCGAUUUUUUUGUUUUUAGUUGUAUUUUCAUUGGUUUUUGCGCACAUCGAUGAAGAUGUGCCCCGACCGAAACGAGGAGCGUCGGGCGCUCUGCACAUAGUGACGAAUCAUGCGCAGCCCAUACACGCCGACGUCAAAUCAGAAACUUCUACUGAUAAUGUUGAAAAAGUCUCUAAUGAACAGGUAACACCACCAGAAGAUGGACUAACAACAUAUGAAGUAAAAUCACUAAGAAAAUCUUUGUCGUUCGCGCCGCCGACAACCCUAACAUUAAUACGAAGCGUCAGCAGGGUUGUCACUCUAGUAGUUCUGUUCGUGUCCGCCAUAUUGGAAUUCUAUCCGACCUUCCAUAGUUUGAUCACUACUAUCAUUAGAUUUAUGAAUUCGAAAUAAAUAUUUGA